UUUAUUCUCCCGAGCUCAAGGGUUUCACCAUCUCCCUUUCUUGUGGCUGUCAUGGCCAGCCUGCUUUCCCUCCCAUCUCUCUCUCUCUCUCUCUCUCUCUCUCUCUCUCUCUCUCUCUCUCUCUCUCUCUCCUUGUCUGCAUUUUAUCAUCCGAUCGGCUGCUUCUAGAUCUUUGCAAUCUCACUAAUCUCCAAAUGCUUAAGGUUGGGAAGGAUGGGUAAGGUUCCAGUUGAUGAAAUUCCAACAUCUCUUGAGGAGAAGGUUGCAGGGCGACGCCUUCAGAUUUUAUCAGGAACACAGGGUUAGAUGGUAAAGUGGUGAUAUGGGAUUUGUUUCAGCACUUCAGGAGUUUGUUCUUUUGAACCGUUCUCUUUCUACAAUUUUGAUGUCAGGGGUUCUUUGGAAAGGGAUGGUGUGACCAAAGGCCAAUUUUACUAGGUCUUACUGUAUGAACUAGAUGCAAUCCGGAAGGUGACAUCUUCAAUUUUAAAAGAGUUCUAUCUUUCUCUGUUUUUGUUUGUUAUAUAAUGUCAACUCACCUUAGCUUUCCUAAUGUUUGAUCUUUUCAAGCAUGCACAUCACUCGAGCCAAAUUACCAGCCUCCACCAACAUUUGUUGUUGUCCAAAAAUGACAAAAAGUUGAUAUAUAUUUCCUGGUAAGAUGGUGAUUAAUAGGCUAAACAUCAUACAUGCCCCAAUUUUGAGAGAUUAUUGUAGGUGUUUGGUAACUCACAAUUAUAUAAGUGCUAGUAAUUUUCAUGGACGAAACAAGUAAUUUGUUUAAUUGAUACCUUAAAUUCAAUCGCUGGAAACCUGUCUCUUUAACUCACAGGAACUGCGGUGGACUUCUAUUUGUGCAGCCAUGUGGGCAUUUAGUUGGAGCUGAAGUAGAUGAUGAUAGGAUUAAGUUGUGGCUUCUAGUGGUGGUGGCUUCAAAAUCGAAGAGGCCAUACUUUGAAGUGCAUCCAUUAUGUUCUAUCAACUUUCCCGGAAAGCAUUCCCCUACCAUGUGUCAUUUACUGCCAUGGAAAUAGUUAUUCUGCUUUUGAAGUUGUUCUCCCACAUGCUCCAACAUUGAUGACUGAUGCAUUCGGCAAUUAUGUUACUCAAAAGUUUUUUGAGCAUGGAAGCCCUGAGCAGAGAUAAGAACUAGUAAAUCAGCUUGCUGGCUGCAUUCUACCUUUGAGCCUUCAUAUAUAUGGGUGCCUGGUAAUUCAAAUGGUAUUAUUAUGGGUCAUUUGUUGGGUGGGGCUUGGCAUGUACUGUUUUCUUCUUUAUACAAACAAAUAGUUCUUGGCAGCCAGCUUUUGGACUGUGCUAUAUACUACUCCUCAACAUUGAUCAAUGCACACACUGUAUAUGAGACAACUCAAUAUUUAUGAGGAUACCAACGGCUAAUCCGGAUUCAAUUUGAUCAAUGUACACACUUUUUAUUGCUGCCUUGCUGGUUGUAUAAUAGGUAAUUUGCCAUAUGGAUGCAUACUUCUAA